rnacentral:rRNA from 1 species
GAUCAUGGCUCAGGAUGAACGCUGGCGGCGUGCCUAAUACAUGCAAGUCGAGCGAACCACUUCGGUGGUGAGCGGCGAACGGGUGAGUAACACGUAGGUUAUCUGCCCAUCAGACGGGGACAACGAUUGGAAACGAUCGCUAAUACCGGAUAGGACGAAAGUUUAAAGGUGCUUCGGCACCACUGAUGGAUGAGCCUGCGGCGCAUUAGCUAGUUGGUAGGGUAAAGGCCUACCAAGGCGACGA